rnacentral:rRNA from 1 species
GACGAACGCUGGCGGCGCGCUUAACACAUGCAAGUCGAACGGAAAGGCCUGCUUUCCCUUGUGGAUUGCGGGUACUCGAGUGGCGAACGGGUGAGUAACACGUGAGUGAUCUGCCCCCAACUUGGGUAUAAGCCUGGGAAACUGGGUCUAAUUCCCGAUAGGACUGCAGGGUGGUGCCUGUGGUGGAAAACGAUGUUCUAGUGGUUGGGGAUGAGCUCGCGGCCUAUCAGCUUGUUGGUGGGGUAAUGGCCUACCAAGGCGGCGACGGGUAGCCGGCCUGGGAGGGCUGAAGGGCAGAGUUGGACUGAGGACCGGGCCCGAGCACGAAGGGAGGAAGCAGUGGGGAGUAUUGGAAAAGGGGCGGAAGCCUGAUGCAGCGACGCGGCGUGGGGGAUGACGGCCUUCGGGUUGUAAACUCCUUUCGACAGCGAGGAAGCCACCUGGUUGGAAGGGUGGUGACGGUAGUGUUAGAAGAAGCACCGGCUAACUACGUG